rnacentral:rRNA from 1 species
GACGAACGCUGGCGGCGUGCUUAACACAUGCAAGUCGAACGCUGAAGCGCAGCUCUUGUUGGGCGGAUGAGUGGCGAACGGGUGAGUAACACGUGAGUAACCUGCAUCCUUCUUUGGGAUAACGCCCGGAAACGGGUGCUAAUACUGGGUAUUCACUGGUCUUCGCCAGGGGGUAGGUGGAAAGGGCGUUUCUGGUGUGGGAUGGGCUCGCGGCCUAUCCGCUUGUUGGUGGGGUUAUGGCCUAGCCAGGCGUUGACGGGUAGCCGGAGUGAACGGGUGAACGGGCACAGUGGCACUGAGAUACGGCCCAGAGUCGUACGGGGGGGAGCAGUGGCGAAUAUUGGACAAUGCGCGACAGCGUGAUGCAGCGACGGCGAGUGAGGGAUGGAGGCCGUCGGGUUGUGAAACUCGUGCGCUAAUGGUCUGGCCGUAACUAUGCUCGUGGUGAGGGUAGUGGGUAAAGAAGCGCCGGCUAACUACGUG